UCCAUUCAUUCAUUUAAAAUGUUUUGAAAACUAUGCUUUAAAAAACUGGGAUUUUAAAAGAAGAAAACAACAUAGAACAUCCACCCUUUAGUUUUCCCAUCUUUGAAUGUGAUGGUUCCUAAUUUCAGCAGAUUAAAUAUUAAGAUAAAUAAAUAAAAACAUAUGUACAUAAAACACACAUAUACAUACAUAACAGAAAAAGAAAACUCAUUUAAUGAGAACAAUGUUGCCAUUCAUAUCCCUCAAACAUCAUUUAAUUUUCCAAAAUUGUGACAUUCCAUAAAAAUUCUUGUAAAAAUUUACAUACAUAAAGAUUCAAGAACAUCCUAGGAAGAUUAAAAAAUAUUGGCAGAAAAUAUACUGAAAUUCUGUUUAUACCUCUUCCCCAGGUAAUAUGACAAGGGCUCAGAUAUAGAAGCAACAUACUAUUCCACAAACUUUCAUCCCUACUUUUAGUGGGCCACCCCUGACACAAGUAAGACUGAUAGAUUGUCUGCGGAAAAGGGAUUUAUAAUAUAAAGCUUGGAAAAUUGUAUUCUUUCGUUCAGUGCUUCUGGGAGCUUUCUUGUGAAUUUUUAGAAAUCCCUUCUACGUAGUUCAAAUAGAAAUGACUGCCAAAUUGUAGUAUUUUUCAAUAUCUGAUCUCCCCAUCAACAAAAUGAUUAUGGCUAAUCUUUCAAUUCUGAAUUAUGUGCAGAGAGAGAGAGAGAGAAAGAAUCCUAAGGUCAUUAUGUAGAUGAAACAACCUUCUUUUCUAGCCCCAUACAGCUAUAUUCUGACAACCCAACCCAUAUAUAGGGGGAAAAUAGGGCCUGAGAAGAUUUCAUUUCAUAUGUUGCUAAGUUACUAACCUGUUAAAGAAAACUAGAUGUAUAAGAAAGAUUUUGAAAUGGCUUUUAUGUUGUAUCAUAGGCAGUAUGCAUCUAUGAAUUAUAUAAUAGGUAUUUAAAUUUACCUUAGAAUAUCAGACACUUGUGGAUCAGAA
rnacentral:lncRNA from 1 species